GUCCUCUAAUCUGCAUCCCUGUGUCAGAGUAUUUACUGAGAUACAUAGGCCAGUUCAAGAAUAAAUUGGGUGAAAAUAGUGCAUGUGUAAGGAGGCAAGCCUGUGCUGAAGAAAGCUACAUUUUUUAAACACUAAAAAGAGUUGAGCAAUGACAAAAAUCCAGCGUAUCUAUGAACAUAAGUUGUGUUGUCUUCAUAGUGUCCUUUAGAUACAAAUAAAUGUAAACAUCUCAUGUAACUGUUUGUACAUCAUUUGCAUGAGUCCCUCUCAUUCAUUUUAGGUGAAUUUAAGAAGGUGCUGCAUGACCAUGG